ACGACCUUUUGGUCGUAUUGUUUUGAAUCAGAAACACAAUGAUUGGAUACAAGAAUAGAGCUUUGGAUGGGUCUGAACUAACUCUGACGUGGUAAAUAAUCCGAAAGCGAUGUCUGUGUGCUGAGUCAUGUCCAGGUUAGGCGAAACCUCAGUUUUUGGUUGUAUCUUCCGAUCCGAAAAAUCAGUGUUUUUUCUCUCUCUGCCUUGGAUAGCUUGAUUGGCCAGUGCAGGUCCACAUGACCCACAGUGCUCAAACCUGAAGAGAUGGCUUUGUCGAUAGGAAAAUUUCGAGAGGAAUAGGAAUCUGGAAUCAUCAUCGUCUUUUUGGCUGAGUAACAUAUAUUAUUGCAUGGUUUUGUUUGUUUUCGAUAGGAAAAUUGUGUCGGCCAUAUGUCUUGAUAUCCAUACUGCGCUUACCAAUCAAGGGUGAGCGUGGCAUAUUUAGCCAACCGACCCUUUUUUGGCUGAGUAAUAUUAUCGCUUGGUAUUUGUUUGUUUUGCAAGAAAGAAAAAGAGCGCAAAAUGACCUAAUUAGGCUUUUUUUUCCUUUGGGCUACUUGCAUGGAUCGAUCUUGUAUUCCUCAAGGUAUGUUGUGCAUUUUUCACAUUGCACUACGUUUAUUCAAAACAUCUUGAUUUCAUCUUGAAGUCACGAAAACAAUAAUGAACUUUGAAAAAUUCAUCUACGCUAGCUUGAAAGGCUCGAUUACAAGUGAUCUUGAAGGCUAGCUUCUACCUCUACAAUUUCAGAGGUUCUUAUUACGAAAGUGGGUCAGUUUCUACGCUUUUAGACUCUUUGGGGAUCCUGUUCCGAGCAUAUUUAAUUUGGUACUUUUGCUCAUGCUUCUCAAGCUCUUCAUGGCAUUAUUCCUACUUCUCUUUCAAAUAAUGGUAUUAUUUUGGAGAUUACUAAAGCAUGUUGAUCGAUCUAGCUAGUUGUUUCAAGAUUUAAAAAAGUUGUAACGAAGCCUUUGUUUUCGUAAGAAGGAAUAAUGAAACUAUUAAACUACCUAAACAUGACAAUUAACGGCUACUUUAUUUAUGGGGUUAAUUAUAUCUUUCAUUUUUCAAUAAUAAGCGAGUAAGAGUUCAUAGGUUUACUGAACCACCUUGUCUUGGUAAGAGUUCGUUGAUCUCAACUAGGAUAUCAAGUGUACAUACCAGAAAAUACUUCACUGUCACAAGGUUUUAUACUACACCAGAACCCCGCAAGAUCACCUAAGAGGCCAGACCAUGGGUCGGGAAUGACACCCAACUGGACGGUGCUCACCAUGGUUGGCACAUCGGGUGAUACAGGUCUCUACUCCACCCAGUAGGGCUAGUCAAAGUACACACCAGAAGCCUAUAUUAGCCUGCAACCUGUGGACCUGCAUCCCACGUCGAAGAAAUGGGAAAUCUCUUUCCCAUGAGUAUAUAAGCCAAACUCAACCACCUUCAUAUGGGGUCACGGAAUUAUCUUGGUACCUGCCAACGGGUAUAGCAUUAUGUUGGACAAAUCCCGGAGACACCAACAGAAACAUUAAGUAUAUAUAGCUAAGUUCACUCUGAAGUGGCGGGCAUAUGAACCUUGAUAGCCUUGAUCGAGGGUGGUUUCAGGCUUCCAGCACUGACGGGAUAAGGUCAAUAGCUAUGGCCCCGAUGAAUAUUACACAAACUUCGGUAAAGUAUCUAGCACAUUACAUAGUUGAAGUAGUGUUUGAAUACUUUACAAACCGAUCGAGAUGCUGAAGCUGUCAUAAUGAUGUGUAUUUUGAUAGUUUGGAAACUUGAGAUAUCGAUAGCUUAUAGACAAUAAUUCAGGAGCUGUUUCUGAGAACUUGAGAUAUCGAUAGCUUACAGAUAUUAGGUUUAAUAGAAAAGACUUCAAAAUAGUAUUAGCUCUAAAAUAAUGGAAAUCAAAAGGUGCCAAUAAAUGUAUUGGUUUUUCUCAAAUUUCUUUAUUCUUUGCGUGUACAAAUAGAAUAGGAAGCAAUUAUCGGAGGGGGGGAAAUCGGCAAACUUGGGUAGCCCAUCUCUAUAGAUGCCAACUUCAGGAAAUCUGAUUGAACCACUUGCUUGAGUCUUGUUCAACUCAAACUCCCCAAAACCUUAAGCUUAAUUAGCUUAGACCAAUCAAGGAAUUCUUUCAGGAAAGAAAGAUUUGACACUUUCAUGCU